GAUGAAGACGCAGCGAAAUGCGAUAAGUAAUGUGAAUUGCAGAAUUCAGUGAAUCAUCGAAUCUUUGAACGCACAUUGCGCCCGCUAGUAUUCUGGCGGGCAUGCCUGUUCGAGCGUCAUUUCAACCAUCAAGCCUAGCUUGGUAUUGGGUGCUUGUCCCGCCUCUCGCGCGGCGACUCACCUCAAAGUCAUUGGCAGCCCGCAUCUCGCCGGCCGUAAGCGCAGCACAGACGCGCUCUUGGCAACGACGGAUCGGCUCUCCAAAAGCUUAUUUCAACCACUGACCUCGGAUCAGGUAGGGAUACCCGCUGAACUUAAGCAUAUCAAUAAGCGGAGGA
rnacentral:misc_RNA from 1 species